rnacentral:rRNA from 1 species
GGAUGGGAUCAUACCAGCACUAAUCCACCGGAUCCCCUUCAGAACUCCGCAGCUAAGCGUGCUUGGGCGAGAGUAGUACUAGGAUGGGUGACCUCCCAGGAAGUCCUCGUGUUGCAUCAC